UACAGAGACUGCAAGCGUUAUUCGGAUUCACUGGGCGUAAAGGGUGCGCAGGCGGUCGUGUGUGUCAGGUGUGAAAAUCCCGGAGCUUAACUCCGGAACUGCGCCUGAAACUACAUGACUAGAGCAUUGGAGAGGGGAAGUGGAAUUCAUGGGUGUAGCAGUGAAAAUGCGUAGAUAUCAUGAGGAACACCAGAGGCGAAGGCGACUUCCUGGACAAUUGCUGACGCUCAGGCACGAAAGCAUGGGGAGCAAAAGGG
rnacentral:rRNA from 1 species